rnacentral:rRNA from 1 species
AUGGAAGCAUGCCAAGGUGAAGUUGACGAUCUCUUUAGCCUUUCUCCUUCUCUCCUUGCCCUAUGAGCUCAUGUAGUGAGUGCCGCAGGAUGAUUUAGUUCUGAGCGAGGGCUUGACCCGUUGAGGAGGGCAUAUUCUUCUGCAUCUCUCUUGUCGGAUCGCCUCCCCGUGUCCACGUCGUCGAAGAGAUAG